rnacentral:lncRNA from 1 species
CACACGUUGGACGGCAAGGGCGUGUGGCUGUCCCAACCCUGGGAGCAGGGCUGCUCCUCAAGGCAGCAUGGCCUCACCUGCCCUUGCUGACAGGCCGGCUGACCCCUCUGACGCCUUCCAGCAGCGUUUCCAGUGCUUUUCUUUCUUCCCAGGAAGAUACUGGGCCAGCGCCAUCAGGGGUGGCUCAUCGGUCGUCGUGGUGGUCUCACGUGUCUCCUGUGCUUUUUGACGCCAGCUGGGACUUCCCGGUCACGGGUGGAAGCAACGGUUUCUCAGGAUUUCGCUACAAGGAUCGUCUCAGCCUUCUUGGACUGCCGUGCGGAACACCACACACCCAGCAGCUAAAAUAAUGACAUUGAGAUCCGGGUGCCAGCAGGACAAGCUCCAUGAGG